rnacentral:rRNA from 1 species
AUUGAACGCUGGCGGAAUGCUUUACACAUGCAAGUCGAACGAUGAACCUUAGCUUGCUCCGGGGAUUAGUGGCGAACGGGUGAGUAAUAUAUCGGAACGUGCCUUGUAAUGGGGGAUAACUAGUCGAAAGAUUAGCUAAUACCGCAUACGCCCUGAGGGGGAAAGUAGGGGAUCUUCGGACCUUACGUUAUAAGAGCGGCCGAUAUCUGAUUAGCUAGUUGGCGGGGUAAUGGCCUACCAAGGCGACGAUCAGUAGCUGGUCUGAGAGGACGACCAGCCACACUGGAACUGAGACACGGUCCAGACUCCUACGGGAGGCAGCAGUGGGGAAUUUUGGACAAUGGGCGCAAGCCUGAUCCAGCCAUUCCGCGUGAGUGAAGAAGGCCUUCGGGUUGUAAAGCUCUUUCGCAAGGGAAGAAAACUUACCAUCGAAUAAAUGGUGAGGCUGACGGUACCUUGAGAAGAAGCACCGGCUAACUACGUG